rnacentral:rRNA from 1 species
AGCUCCAAUAGCGUAUAUUAAAGUUGUUGCAGUUAAAAAGCUCGUAGUUGAACCUUGGCGUCAGCUAGGCGGGACUGAGCAAUCAGGCUCGCUGGGCGGCGCCGUAGAGGAGCGAACGGGCAACCGCCUCGCUCCGUGUUACUGUGAAGAAAUUAGAGUGUUUAAAGCAGGCAGCCGCUUGAAUACAUCAGCAUGGAAUAACAAGAUAGGACUAGCGUCCCACUUGUUGGUUUGGGGGCAUUAGUAAUGAUUAAUAGGGCCAGUUGGGGGCAUUAGUAUUCAGUAGUCAGAGGUGAAAUUCUUGGAUUUACUGAAGACUAACUAGUGCGAAAGCAUUUGCCAAGGAUGUUUUCA